rnacentral:tRNA from 1 species
GCGGGGGUGGCUGAGCGGUCAAAAGCGCAGGACUUAAGAUCCUGUGGGUUAGUCCCUUCGAGGGUUCAAAUCCCUUCCCCCGCA